GACGAACGCUGGCGGCGUGCUUAACACAUGCAAGUCGUACGGUAAGGCCCUUUCUGUGGUCCACGAGUGGCGAACGGGUGAGUAACACGUGAGUAACCUGCCCACAACUUUGGGAUAACGCUAGGAAACUGGUGCUAAUACUGGAUAUGUGCUCCUGCUGCAUGGUGGGGGUUGGAAAGCUCCGGCGGUUGUGGAUGGACUCGCGGCCUAUCAGCUUGUUGGUGGGGUAGUGGCCUACCAAGGCGGCGACGGGUAGCCGGCCUGAGAGGGUGACCGGCCACAUUGGGACUGAGAUACGGCCAAGACUCCUACGGGAGGCAGCAGUGGCGAAUAUUGAACAAUGGGCGCAAGCCUGAUGCAGAACCGCCGCGGGCGGGAUGACGGCCUUCGGGUUGUAAACCGCUUUCAGCAGGGACGAAGCUUUUUGUGACGGUACCUGCAGAAGAAGCACCGGCUAACUACGUG
rnacentral:rRNA from 1 species